rnacentral:rRNA from 1 species
GAUGAACGCUGGCGGCGUGCCUAACACAUGCAAGUCGAACGGAACUUUUACGGAUUGAGACUUCGGUCGAUUGAAGUUUAAGUUUAGUGGCGGACGGGUGAGUAACGCGUGAGUAACCUGCCUUUCACAGGGGGAUAACGUUUGGAAACGAACGCUAAUACCGCAUAACAUAGCGAGACCGCAUGAUCUUGCUAUCAAAGAUUUUAUCGGUGAAAGAUGGACUCGCGUCCGAUUAGGUAGUUGGUGAGGUAACGGCCCACCAAGCCGACGAUCGGUAGCCGGACUGAGAGGUUGAACGGCCACAUUGGGACUGAGACACGGCCCAGACUCCUACGGGAGGCAGCAGUGGGGAAUAUUGCACAAUGGGCGCAAGCCUGAUGCAGCAACGCCGCGUGAGGGAAGACGGUUUUCGGAUUGUAAACCUCUGUCUUUGGUGACGAAGAAGUGACGGUAGCCAAGGAGGAAGCCACGGCUAACUACGUG